rnacentral:rRNA from 1 species
GACGAACGCUGGCGGCGUGCUUAACACAUGCAAGUCGAACGGAAAGGCCCUGCUUUCGUGGGGUGCUCGAGUGGCGAACGGGUGAGUAACACGUGAGUAACCUGCCCUUGACUUUGGGAUAACUUCAGGAAACUGGGGCUAAUACCGGAUAGGAGCUCCUGCUGCAUGGUGGGGGUUGGAAAGUUUCGGCGGUUGGGGAUGGACUCGCGGCUUAUCAGCUUGUUGGUGGGGUAGUGGCUUACCAAGGCUUUGACGGGUAGCCGGCCUGAGAGGGUGACCGGCCACAUUGGGACUGAGAUACGGCCCAGACUCCUACGGGAGGCAGCAGUGGGGAAUAUUGCACAAUGGGCGGAAGCCUGAUGCAGCAACGCCGCGUGCGGGAUGACUGCCUUCGGGUUGUAAACCGCUUUCGCCUGUGACGAAGCGUGAGUGACGGUAAUGGGUAAAGAAGCACCGGCUAACUACGUG